rnacentral:rRNA from 1 species
CGAGGAAUUUUCCGCAAUGGGCGCAAGCCUGAGGGAGCAACGCCGCGUGCGGGAUGACGGCCUUCGGGUUGUAAACCGCUUUUCGUGGGGACGAUUGUGACGGUACCCGCGGAAUAAGCCCCGGCUAGCUCUGUGCCAGCAGCCGCGGUAAGACAGAGGGGGCAAGCGUUGUCCGGACUGACUGGGCGUAAAGCGCGCGCAGGCGGUCUCGGGCGUCGGUGCUGAAAGUCCACCGCUUAACGGUGGGAUGCGUGCCGAUACGCCGAGACUGGAGGGUGGGCGAGGGUGGUGGAAUUGCCGGUGUAGUGGUGAAAUGCGUAGAGAUCGGCAGGAACACCCGUGGUGAAAACGGCCACCUAGCCCGCACCUGACGCUGAGGCGCGACAGCGUGGGGAGCGAA